rnacentral:misc_RNA from 1 species
GAUGAAGAACGCAGCGAAAUGCGAUAAGUAAUGUGAAUUGCAGAAUUCAGUGAAUCAUCGAGUCUUUGAACGCACAUUGUGCCCCCUGGUAUUCCGGGGGGCAUGCCUGUCCGAGCGUCAUUGCUGCCCUCAAGCACGGCUUGUGUGUUGGGCCCCGCCCCCCGGCUCCCGGGGGGCGGGCCCGAAAGGCAGCGGCGGCACCGCGUCCGGUCCUCGAGCGUAUGGGGCUUCGUCACCCGCUCCGUAGGCCCGGCCGGCGCCCGCCGGCGACCCCCCUCAAUCUUUUCAGGUUGACCUCGGAUCAGGUAGGGAUACCCGCUGAACUUAAGCAUAUCAAUAAGCGGAGGA